AUGCGACCCCAGGAUGGGCGAGGCCACCCGCUGAGUUUAAGCAUAUCAAUAAGCGGAGGAGAAGAAA
rnacentral:rRNA from 17 species